GACAUGCUCACCGAGCAAAGCAUUGAACAACAACAAUUCUCGAAGAAUCUUAAGCUAUCUUUUUGUAACGUCUUUGAAUUUCACUAAGAGAGAAAAAAAGUUAGAAGAAAAUGCAGUCGAUGAAGGAAACAGCUUCGAACAUCGCAGCUUCUGCGAAGUCUGGCAUGGACAAGACCAAAGCCACCUUGGAGGAAAAGGUAUGUUUACUAUAAUUGUGUUUAUCAUUUAAGCAAAAUGAUUUUCUUUUGAUGAUAAAUAAUGGUAUAUGAUCUUAAGGAGGUAAUCUUGAAAUGGAUCGACGUAGUAUGUAAAUAUGAUUCCUGAUCUGCAAGAAUCUUAAGGACGUUGUUUUUUAUGAUUUGUAGAUUCCACCGCAAGAUAUAAGAUGGGGUGGAGAGGAGAAUGGGGCAGCUUUAAAUGCAGGACAUGGGAGUCGAAGAACCUUAAGCAAUGGUGGUCUAGGGAGAUUGCCAAUGACUCAGCCAAGAAGAGACCAUCUAGUAGCACAAAACGGUGGCGGGAGGAAGCUUUUCGAUGAGAUCGAACUGUUCAACACAGACUCGCUUGUGAAAGAGGUAAGCAUCUCUCUGUCUCUCCGUGGAUGAGUUUUAACAUUUUGCUUAGUCUGAAGUGUUUUUGCGUCGCAUUAGGUGGAGAGAGUUUUUGAUUCUAAUCUUCCUGACCCGCACGAGCUUGAUAAGGCCAAGAAGCUACUCAAGGUCAGAGACGUAACAAGAACGCUUUAUUAUUUAUAUAAACGAUUGAUCAAAAGUGAAACUUGGUUGCUUUUAUUGGAUGAUGCAGGAACAUGAACAGGCGCUUGUUUCUGCCAUUGCAAGGCUUGCGGAUGCUUCUGAUUUCGAAAGCGGUAAGAAACAUUAAGGGAGGGCUUUGUAUAUGGCCUGAGAAUAAGUUUAUUGCCUAUUCAAAUCACAUUGUUUGUCAGAACGACUCAAUGUCUUUGUUUCAUUACAAGACCAGUGAUGUUAUGUUUUUUUUUUUUCUUGGUUUUGUAUGUUGCUGAAAACCAGAUGGAGAAGAAGCGUAUAUGCAUGAGCUUCCAGUGCAUGAGGGAUAACAGUGGAUAAAGAAAAGAGAUUCGCCCAUCAAACCUUAGCACACUCUUUUUAUGUCCUUCACGUAUAGCAAACCGAACAAGUUCCUCCGAAAAUGAAAAUAUUAUGUAUUGGUUUCAAAAUGUAUUAAAAUAACCGUUAGAAAUUUUGUUUGUAAAAACACGUUAAUUAUUUUUCAAAUUUCUUAAUAAUUUAUGUGACCAUCAGGUCUAUCCAUCAAGAUUAUGCUUUACCUUUGUGGUUAACGUUAAAUUUGCAACAUGUAUCGAAUCAGUGAUGACGAACGUGCCAAAAGCCUAAUGGUGUAGUUAGAUUUUUGGUGUAUACGCGGCGGACGUAUAAAACAGCUAUAACUAAUAACUCUUUCCACCACUAACCAAAGCCUAACACGCGUCAACAUGCGAACUGCUCUACGGCUCUACCGCUACGUACACGUGCAUGACAAAGAGCUGCAACACAAAGCAUACCACCUUUUGCUUCGUGACACGUCUAGCUGACGUGUUGCCAAAUAGCGUAAUUAAAUAAUAAUCACAGUUACCGACUAUAGUACUAUACUACCACGUGGCUUUGGCAAUGCCUAUAUUAUGUGACAUGCUCACCGAGCAAAGCAUUGAACAACAACAAUUCUCGAAGAAUCUUAAGCUAUCUUUUUGUAACGUCUUUGAAUUUCACUAAGAGAGAAAAAAAGUUAGAAGAAAAUGCAGUCGAUGAAGGAAACAGCUUCGAACAUCGCAGCUUCUGCGAAGUCUGGCAUGGACAAGACCAAAGCCACCUUGGAGGAAAAGGUAUGUUUACUGUAAUUGUGUUUAUCAUUUAAGCAAAAUGAUUUUCUUUUGAUGAUAAAUAAUGGUAUGUUGUAUUUGGUUUCGUAGGCGGAGAAGAUGACAACACGAG
rnacentral:lncRNA from 1 species